rnacentral:rRNA from 1 species
AUUGAACGCUGGCGGCAUGCCUUACACAUGCAAGUCGAACGGUAACGGGUCCUUCGGGAUGCCGACGAGUGGCGAACGGGUGAGUAAUAUAUCGGAACGUGCCCAGUAGUGGGGGAUAACUGCUCGAAAGAGCAGCUAAUACCGCAUACGACCUGAGGGUGAAAGGGGGGGAUCGCAAGACCUCUCGCUAUUGGAGCGGCCGAUAUCAGAUUAGCUAGUUGGUGGGGUAAAGGCCUACCAAGGCAACGAUCUGUAGUUGGUCUGAGAGGACGACCAGCCACACUGGGACUGAGACACGGCCCAGACUCCUACGGGAGGCAGCAGUGGGGAAUUUUGGACAAUGGGCGCAAGCCUGAUCCAGCAAUGCCGCGUGCAGGAAGAAGGCC